GACGAACGCUGGCGGCGUGCCUAAUACAUGCAAGUCGAACGCUGAAGAGAGGAGCUUGCUCUUCUUGGAUGAGUUGCGAACGGGUGAGUAACGCGUAGGUAACCUGCCUUGUAGCGGGGGAUAACUAUUGGAAACGAUAGCUAAUACCGCAUAACAAUGGAUGACACAUGUCAUUUAUUUGAAAGGGGCAAUUGCUCCACUACAAGAUGGACCUGCGUUGUAUUAGCUAGUAGGUGAGGUAACGGCUCACCUAGGCGACGAUACAUAGCCGACCUGAGAGGGGGAUCGGCCACACUGGGACUGAGACACGGCCCAGACUCCUACGGGAGGCAGCAGUAGGGAAUCUUCGGCAAUGGGGGCAACCCUGACCGAGCAACGCCGCGUGAGUGAAGAAGGUUUUCGGAUCGUAAAGCUCUGUUGUAAGUCAAGAACGAGUGUGAGAGUGGAAAGUUCACACUGUGACGGUAGCUUACCAGAAAGGGACGGCUAACUACGUG
rnacentral:rRNA from 1 species